AAUGAGUUAUAUGCAAGUCUUC
rnacentral:tRNA from 1 species